AGCUUUUGGCAACACAUUUUAUGGCCACGCUUGCGAAACAUAUCUUUUAGACUGAGACAACGCAACUUAAGUGCUGCCAAACAUAAAUUAAUUGGCAACACUUAUUCAUUUAUAUUGCGAUGCUUUUAGAGUGAGUUGUAUUCAUAAUUCUAAAAGCAACACUUCACUAGUGUGCGCUAAAGAAAUUCAAUAAAAUUCCUCCUACCAUUAAAAUUUCCCGUGAAACAUUUCCCCCCAUUUUGAAAGUGCAAAUAGUUUCCCUCCUAAUGACAUCAGUUCAUUAGGUUUUCUGUUUUGCCAACCUCCGCCAUAAUCUGCAUAGACACUAUCACCUCUUGUGCCGAAUUUGCCUCCACCCUAAAAUUUGUAGCGAUGUCUCAUUUUCUUUCUGAAAUGUACUCUUAUAUAUGCCAAUAUUUGCUUAAGUGAAAUUCAAUCAGGAAAAAGAAAAUUUCAACAGAGUUCAAAUACAGAUUUCAUUUGUGUUUGUUUCAUAGUACUAGUCUUAAGUUUAAACGUACAUGUGUUUAGAUCUUAAACAUUUCUAUACUAGCUUUGCCUAUUUGCAGAAUUUCUUUUGGGAUUGACCAUUGCAUAUUACCUGUUUGAUGGAAUGUUUGUCUGACCUAUCCUUACCGUUGAAAUCAUUUUGGUUUUGAAGUCAAUUAAUGAAGUGAAAUUUGUUGGAUAAAUAGUAAGAAUUUGAAAGAAUUAGUAGGAAGCAUAAAUUUAGUAUCAAAUAUGGAUUGACAAAAAGCAAUAAUGAGUGUUUGAAAAGGAACUGAAGCAUUAAGAAGGUAUUUUUAUGAGAUGAAAAUUUCUGGACCUAUUUGGUUUGCCUUUUCUUAUAUGCUUAUAUAUUUUAAUAACUUGUUAGUUUGUAUGUGCGACACAAUUUUCAUGUCUGCCACAUCUUGCUUCAUUUCAUAGUACAACUAUUUUCUAUUUUUUUUUGGUAAUUAAACUUUGUAUUACCAGGGAAAAAUAUUUACAAGUAAGUCAAAAAAAAAAACCUUACAAGAUAACCUUCUUUCCUAUACUUCACCCCCUCCCCAUAUGCUGUUAUAUACACUUAUAUCUAACUAUUACACUGGGUACCAAUCUAGUCUAUGUAGUAUCCCCGCUGUAUGUUUGGUACUUCGGUAAUGUAUCUCUUGAAUGAUCUUCUUACUCAUUGCUUCCCAACCUGUCACCUUUGCUUGAAAAAUUCUAGUAUUCCUUUCUUUCCAUACAUGGUAUACUGUUGCUGCUACUGUCAUUUUAUACAACUCUGCAGCAGCUGUAUUUCUUUUCAUAGUACAACUAUUAUUAUGUCCUUUUGUUGUCGAAUUACUUUCUUCAGUGCUUUGUAUGUUUUUGUUUUGCAUUUGAAGCAUUAUAGUGUUACUUCCCAAUUGUGGAGUUCAAAAUGUUAGUCUAAGUUUUCUACUUAAGUUUGACAUAAAGUUUUUGUAGCAUAAACGUAUAAAUGCUUAUGACUUAAUGGCAUAUAUUGAGGCUUGGUAGUUGAAACUAAAAUAUUUUGUUAUUUAUAUGGUUUGAUAAUUAAAAGAUGUGCAAGAAGAUAUGGUACUUUUUUUCAUGAAGCUUUAUGAAUUAAUGAUAAAAAUAUGAGAUAGUGAUGAAGAUAUACUUCAAUUACAAUGGGAUUUAGUUUUCUCUAUUGUAAAUGAGAUUUAGUUAUAUGACGUUCUCUAGCCCAUAAGGGGGAGAGAUGACCUUUACUUGUAUUUUGGAGGAGAAUAACUUUUUACAAUUAUAUAAUCUGGGCACAAAUUCUUAUUCUGACAUUCUAUUGUCUAGUAGCUAAUUCUUGUUCUCUCUCAUUAUUAAUUGUAUAGCUUCUGAAGCUAAGACUAAGGCUCUAGUUUGAUAUUGAAUAAACAUGGCAAUAUGUUAGUUAGGUAGAUCAAUUUGGCAUAUCAAUUGACGCAUACUAUUUAUUUUUUUAUGCUAGCACAAUAUUUAGUUCUAAUGUUAUUAAGAUUUUAACUUUGUGGUUGAAAUCUCAAAUUUUAAAGAUAUUGUCCUACUUGUGACAGUAUUGUAUUUUGCAUCAAUUCAGUUCUUGCUUGCUUUAGUAUAGGUUAUACAUGUGGACAUUGGAGUGAACAAAGGAUUCUUCAUGUUCUCAAAUAAGAUCAACGUAGAGCAAAAGUGAGGAAGGCAAAGAAAAAGGAUAGGGGUACUUCAGAGGUAUGUUAAGGCAUUAUUCAUUGGCAUAGUUGGUAAGUAAACUGGGUAAACUAACUUUUUAGCUAUUAACUUCCUGCUCUCCUUAAAAUUGUUGUAGGAGGAUUAAUUGAUAGAAAAUAUACAUCGACCAGGUAAUCAAACUUUGGAUGUGCCAUCUUUGGAAAGAAAAUGUUCUGCAGUAUAUCGAUUAGUUGAGCAUAAUACACAAUUUAUCGUCUUUCUCCUUCAUUCUUUAUCUCUUGAUAUAUGAAACUUGCAUAUUUCUAUUGUUGAUUUAGUCUCUAUUGUGUAUUAUCUCAGCUUAAGAUCUUCCUUUGAGUCAACUGAAGAGGUAAAUUUGGAUUUGUCUUCUUUGGCUUACUAUCUUAUUUUUUGUUUGCUAGAAUGGGAAGUACACAAAUACAAAUCUUGUUGUUUGAGAAUUAAUUUCAGAUAUCUUGAAAUGAAUUUUUUUCUGGUAACUCCAACAAUUAUGAAUUUAAAGAGGAUGCCAAGUGAAUGAAGGUAUCCACUUCCCAACAGGAAAGUUCUGGUGGACAAUUAAAAAUGGUGCCAAAAGACUUUGAUCUAUUGGAAUUUAACGAUGAAGACUUUGGACAAUUACGAUUUUUGUAAUUCCUGAUACUACAUUUGAUUUUGUAAAGUUACAAGCAUGAACCUUGAAAUAAUUUGCUUCAUUGUAUUACACAAGAUUUAAUCUUUUUUUGAAGUUCAUUGCAAGUAUAUGCAUUGGAAUUA